AUUGAACGCUGGCGGCAUGCCUUACACAUGCAAGUCGAACGGCAGCACGGGUGCUUGCACCUGGUGGCGAGUGGCGAACGGGUAAGUAAUACAUCGGAACGUACCUUAUCAUGGGGGAUAACGCAGCGAAAGCUGUGCUAAUACCGCAUACGCCCUGAGGGGGAAAGCGGGGGAUCGAAAGACCUCGCGCGAUUAGAGCGGCCGCUGCCUGAUUAGCUGGUUGGUGGGGUAAAAGCCCACCAAGGCGACGAUCAGGAGCUGGUCUGAGAGGACGAUCAGCCACACUGGGACUGAGACACGGCCCAGACUCCUACGGGAGGCAGCAGUGGGGAAUUGUGGACAAUGGGGGCAACCCUGAUCCAGCAAUGCCGCGUGAGUGAAGAAGGCCUUCGGGUUGUAAAGCUCUUUUGUCAGGGAAGAAACACCGGCUCUAACACAGUCCGGGAAUGACGGUACCUGAAGAAUAAGCACCGGCUAACUACGUGCCAGCCGCCGCCGUAA
rnacentral:rRNA from 1 species